rnacentral:rRNA from 1 species
UACGAAGGGGGCGAGCGUUGUUCGGAAUUACUGGGCGUAAAGGGCGCGUAGGCGGCCGAUCAAGUUAGAUGUGAAAGUCCUGGGCUCAACCUGGGGGACUGCAUUUGAUACUGAUUGGCUUGAAUCCGGGAGAGGAUAGCGGAAUUCCCAGUGUAGAGGUGAAAUUCGUAGAUAUUGGGAAGAACACCAGUGGCGAAGGCGGCUAUCUGGACCGGCAUUGACGCUGAGGCGCGAAAGCGUGGGGAGCAAACAGG